AGGGCUUGAGGCUGCUGGUCAGAGUCACUGUAGGCAAGGGACACAGAGGCUGGGGAGGGCAAGAUCAGGUGCAGCUGUGGACAACUGAGGAUGAAUUCAGGCAUCACAGCACCAGCAAAUGGCAGGAGCACAUCACAAAAGGUCCUGGCACGUUGGAGAAGAAGGACAAAGGAUGAAAUGGGAACAGUGGAGCAGAGGAAGCAUGGCUUGGAGCAAGAGGCUACCAGGAGGAGUUUGUAACCAGGAUGAAGUUGUGAAUGCCUCAUUUGCAGAGAGCUCUAAAUGGGACAAACUGGAGCAAGUAUGCCACCUGCUCAUGUGA
rnacentral:lncRNA from 1 species